rnacentral:rRNA from 1 species
AUUGAACGCUGGCGGCAGGCCUAACACAUGCAAGUCGAGCGAGCGGCGGACGGGUGAGUAAUGUAUGGGGACUGCCCGAUAGAGGGGGAUAACUACUGGACACGGUGGCUAAUACCGCAUCCUCUCGGAUACCCCAUAUGGGAUUAGCUAGUAGGUGGGGUAAAGGCUCACCUAGGCGACGAUCUCUCGCUGUUCUGAGAGGAUGAGCAGCCACACUGGGACUGAGACACGGCCCAGACUCCUACGGAGGCAGCAGGGGGGAAUAUUUGAAAAUGGGCGCAAGCCUGAUGCAGCCAUGCCGCGUGUAGUAAGAAGGCCUUAGGGUUGUAAAGUACUUUCAGCGGGGAGGAGUGACCCGCAGAAGGAGCACCGGCUAACUCCGUGCCAGGCGGCGCGGUAAUUC